AUUUUUCUGCAAGUAUUUGAUUAAUAUGGGAAUUAUGGUUAUAACAAAGUUUUGCUUACCAAAGAAGAUUGGGGGAGAUAAAUUUGGCACUACUAUAUAUAAAACAAACAACAAGGACCUACUGGGAACUGUAUUCAAUAUCUUUUAAUAACCUAUCAUAGGAAGGAAUGUGAAAAACAGACAUUUACAGGUAUAACUGAAUCCUGUUGUACACUGAAACUCACACUACAUUGUGAAUUAACUAUACUUCAAUUAAAAACAUUUUUAAAGAGGGAGAAUGUGGAAAAAAUUGGGAAUUAUAUUUUCCUCAUAACGUUUGGUUUAUCUUGCUUAGGAACCCUGGGUGGCCUGGACUCUUCUCUGUAGGAAGACUUUGAGCUACUUCUUCAUUUUGUUUUUAAACAAUUUUCCCUGCACAAGGACAAAUAGGUACCUCCCCAGGACUCUCCAUGGCCGGAAGCAGACUGCAAGCGGUCUCGGGUCUCUGGAGAACCCACAUUAAGAUUGGGCCGGGCCGGGCCUGGCGGGGGAGUAAACCACGUGACCACACAGAGCGCCUCAGGGCCGACGCCCCCUCCUCCGGAAGCCGUGUUCUGACGUCGCCAUGCGGCAACUUCCUGCAGGACCUCGACGGAGCCUAUUGCAUUCUGGGACACGCGUGGCUACGCUCGGAUUUUAGAGCGUCGGUGUAGGGCGUGUCUCCCCGCGGUGCCCUGUGUACACGUUCUCCUGCCAGCUCAAACAUCUUUUCCAUUUAUAAAGAGGCGGGGUUCUAUUUCCUGCGAGCAAGGAGUUGCCAGAGGAUGGUGUCAGUUUAGGUACUGCUAAACUUAAUGCAACCAGAUCUGGGGCCUGAGACUAAUUCGAGGCUCACAAGACGGUCUAAGUGCUACUACUUCCUCCCCACAUCCCGGGCUUCCGAAGGAUCACGUGACCGAUGGCUGGCUCAGCUGUCACGUGAUGCGUCGCGUGUCGUUUUUGCGCUGGAGAGUACUAGCUCACGGGGGUGUGUGUCUUUGUCUCCGCUCCCGCCCUGGUCCCGUUUUUUUGCCGCAUGCACAGCACACGAUUGCUUCCUGCGUUAUCACUCAAACUCCACUUCCACCGUUUCUUUCUCACAGGUACAGAGACGCACACCUGGCCGUCUGUCCCUCUUGGGCUCUGGAGGAGAAGGAACUUGCCGACAGUGAAGAAACCUCUCACAGCAUGGACUGCUGAAAUGGUGUUCUGUGACCUGAAGGCUGUUGAAUAUACGGAGUGUUUUGCGUUCACAAAGAAAAACUUAAAGGAUUCCUUUGACAAAGCACUAUUGACUGCCUCGGAGACUCUGGAACUGAAGGGCCAGGUAAGUGCUGCUUGGAACAUGCCUCCAGAGCUUUUUCUGCACCAUUGGUGGUGUUAUC
ensembl:lncRNA